rnacentral:rRNA from 1 species
UCGAGAAUCUUCCACAAUGGGCGAAAGCCUGAUGGAGCGACGCCGCGUGACUGAUGAAGUCCUUCGGGACGUAAAGGUCUUUUAUAGGGGAGAAAGCCGGAUUUAUCCGGAUUGAUAGUACCCUAAGAAUAAGAGGUUGCUAAACUCGUGCCAGCAGCAGCGGUAAUACGAGUGCCUCGAGCGUUAUCCGGAAUUAUUGGGCGUAAAGGGUGUGUAGGCGGUUUUGUUAGUCCUUUGUUAAAACCUACGGCUUAACCGUAGAUGUGCGAAGGAAACGGCAAGACUGGAGAAUGUGAGGGGUCUGCGGAACUCAUGGUGUAGGGGUGAAAUCCGUUAAUAUCAUGGGGAACACCAAAGGCGAAGGCAGCAGACUGGCACAUUUCUGACGCUGAAACACGAA